UCCUCCGGGAGGCAGCAGUCGGGAAUUUUGUCCAAUGGGCGAAAGCCUGACGCAGCAACGCCGCGUGAGGGAUGACGGCCUUCGGGGGGUAAACUUCUUUUGUCAGGGACGAUGAUGACGGUACCUGGCGAAUAAGCCACGGCUAACUAAAAGCCAGCAGCCGCGGUAAUACGUAGGUGGCAAGCGUUGUCCGGAUUUACUGGGCGUAAAGAGCGCGC
rnacentral:rRNA from 1 species